CAUCAGCAAGAAACAAACACUAUCUGUGCAUUACUGAAACUUGUAAGCACAUGAAUAAAGAAGAGAUCCAAGUCAACCACACCGAUGGGACAGACCUCUUCACUUGACAAAACCUCACCUGUUAACUGGAUCUAUUCAGGAAGAAAGAGGCAAAUCCAAAUUGUGGGAUGUUGAGAGGCAACUGGCCAAGUAUUUUGACAAUGCCAAUAUCUUUAGAGAAAAAAAAAUGCGACAAAUUAAAGGAAAAGGAGAUUAAAGAAGAAUCAAGAGGCAUGAAACGAAAAGCCAUUCAUGAUCCUGUGGGCCUCUCCCCAGGGCAGCUGGAGCAUCCUCACAACAUGGCGGCUGUUUUCUCCCAGAGCCACUGGUUCAAGACAGAGAGUGAAAGGCAGAAGUGGCAGUAUCUUUUAUGGCCUAGUCUUGGAAGUCACAUACUAUCAUUUCGAAAAUAUCCUAUUGGUUACACAGCAAUAAAUAAAACAUUAAAAAAAUAAAUAGACGGAAAGGAUUCCAGACCAUAGUUCUUCAUAUGGGUUCUAGAAGGUGGGUGCAGAGAUCUACUUGUGUUGCAGCUGCCCAAGGCAAGCCUUCUAUGUAAGUUCCUUUGCUUAUUAAACCUGCCACCUAUCAA